UUAGUAUAAUAAGCUCAAAAAAUUUUGGCUGCUGCAAUUAAAAUGGAAAAAUAUUAAAUGUUUACAUGUGAACUUUUUUUCCGCUAGUAAGCAGAAAUGAAGAAACAAGUGAAGAAAGUCAGGAAGAUGAAAAACAAGAUACUUGGGAACAACAGCAAAUGAGGAAAGCAGUUAAAAUCAUAGAGGAAAGAGACAUAGAUCUUUCCCGUGGCAGUGGAUCUUCAAAAGUGAAGAAAUUUGAUACUUCCAUUUCAUUUCCACCAGUAAAUUUAGAAAUUAUAAAGAAGCAGUUAAAUACUAGAUUAACAUUACUACAGGAAACUCACCGCUCACACCUGAGGGAGUAUGAAAAAUAUGUACAAGAUGUCAAAAGCUCAAAGAGUACCAUCCAGAACCUAGAGAGUUCAUCAAAUCAAGCUCUAAAUUGUAAAUUCUAUAAAAGCAUGAAAAUUUAUGUGGAAAAUUUAAUUGACUGCCUUAAUGAAAAGGCAAAGAUGAGACAUCCACAAGUGGAAACGUCGCAGUAGAUGAAAAAACUCAGUGGAUUUUAGAAGAGAUUGAAUCUCGAAGGACCAAAAGAAGACAAGCAAGGGUGCUUUCUGGGAAUUGUAACCAUCAGGAAGGGACAUCUAGUGAUGAUGAACUGCCUUCAGCAGAGAUGAUUGACUUCCAAAAAAGCCAAGGUGACAUUUUACAGAAACAGAAGAAAGUUUUUGAAGAUGUGCAAGAUGAUUUUUGUAACAUCCAGAAUAUUUUGUUGAAAUUUCAGCAAUGGCGAGAAAAGUUUCCUGACUCCUAUUAUGAAGCGUUCAUUAGUUUAUGCAUACCAAAGCUUUUAAAUCCCCUAAUACGAGUUCAGUUGAUUGAUUGGAAUCCUCUUAAGUUGGAUUCCACAGGUUUAAAAGAGAUGCCAUGGUUCAAAUCUGUAGAAGAAUUUAUGGAUAGCAGUAUAGAAGAUUCAAAGAAGGAAAGUAGUUCAGAUAAAAAAGUCUUGUCUAUGAUCAUCAACAAAACAAUUAUUCCCCGACUUACAGACUUUGUAGAAUUCCUUUGGGAUCCUUUGUCAACCUCACAGACAACCAGUUUAAUAACACAUUGCAGAGUGAUUCUUGAAGAACAUUCCACUUGUGAAAAUGAAGUUAGUAAAAGCAAACAGGAUUUACUUAAAUCCAUUGUUUCAAGAAUGAAAAAGGCAGUGGAAGAUGAUGUUUUUAUUCCUCUGUAUCCAAAGAGUGCUGUAGAAAACAAAACAUCACCUCUUUCAAAGUUCCAAGAAAGACAGUUCUGGUCAGGCCUAAAGCUCUUCCGCAAUAUUCUUCUUUGGAAUGGACUCCUUACAGAUGACACCUUGCAAGAACUAGGACUAGGGAAGCUGCUAAAUCGUUACCUUAUUAUAGCUCUUCUCAAUGCCACACCUGGGCCAGAUGUGGUUAAAAAGUGCAACCAGGUAGCAGCAUGUCUACCAGAAAAAUGGUUUGAAAAUUCUGCCAUGAGGACAUCUAUUCCACAGCUAGAAAACUUCAUUCAGUUUUUAUUGCAGUCUGCACAUAAAUUAUCUAGAAGUGAAUUCAGGGAUGAAGUCGAAGAAAUAAUUCUUAUUUUGGUGAAAAUAAAAGCUUUGAAUCAAGCAGAAUCCUUCAUAGGAGAGCAUCACCUAGACCAUCUUAAAUCACUAAUUAAAGAAGAUUGAAUAAACUUUAUUAGAAAAUGCUAAAAUUUUAAUAUAGUUACACUGAGUUCCUUUGCUUGAGAAGAAGCUGGUGCCUCUCUCUUCUUUAUUCCCUGUAAUAGAAGGUAGGAUUUGAAGAAAAGCAAGACUCCACCUCUGUAUUCCCCCGUGCUUUACCUUCUGGCAUCAUGAAAAGCUGCCAUGAUUCUGUGGUGUUCUAAGGAAUUAAAUGCACUGGAGCUUUAAGAGCUCAACGUGUUUCCCUUUGAUUCUUUUGGCUGGUCUUUCAAUUUUCUUAAGAGGGGAACUGGAGAAAACUUGCUAAAGGUUUUAGCUUAAGUGAGCAUGCUAAUAAGUCUUCUGUCCUGAACCACAAUAAUAUCUUUUAGUUCUCUUUAACUACCUUUAUUUAAAAAUAAGUCAAUAUGAAAAUCUCAGUUGGAGUGAAUUAUUUGCUAAGUAUUAAAUGAUUAAGGCAUUUGCUGAUUGUCAAAUUAUCCUUUAGAAAUCUAUACCAAUUUAAUGUACCAACACAAGCGUGAGUGCCAGUGAAUCCCUACCAGCAGUAGUUAUUAUCCUUUUUAAAAAUGCAUUGAAAAUUUGAAAGGUAAAAAUAAUCUUAUUUUAAUAGCUUAUUUUGUGUUGGCUAUUAGAAAGUAAACAUAUUGGUUUUGGCCAUUUGUAAUUAUUUCUGAAAUAUCCAUCUUUUUCUUAUGGACUUUAAGACCUUUAUAUUUUUAAAGAUAAUUGAUUUUUUGCCCAUGCUUGUGGCAGAAGUUUUCCUUAUUUGCCAUUUUUCUUUUUUUUUUUUUUUAAAUUGUAUUUUUUGAGACAGGGUCUGGCUCUGUCACCCAGGCUGGAGAGUAGUGGCACAAUCUCGGCUCACUGCAACCUCUGCCUUCUGGGCUCAAGCAAUCCUCCCACUUCAACCUCCCAAGUAGCUGGGACUUCAGGUAUGCACCACCAUGCCCAGCUGAUUUUUGUAUUUUUUUGUAGAGAUGGGGUUUCGUGACAUUGCCGAGGCUGGUCUCGAACUCUUGAGCUCAAGCAGUCUAUCCACCUUGACCUCCCAAAGUGCUGGGAUUACAGCCUUGAGCAACCAUGUUUGGCCUUUCUUUUAAAUUUGUUGAUGUUUUUUGAAGCAUUAAGUCAUUACUUAUUAGCAAGUUACUACUUUUUUUUUGUCAUUAGUGGUAGGACUAAGAAGGAAACAGAUAUUUUAAAUACUCAGAACAUGUCAUUCAUUUUCUGAUAAAAUAUUUGUCUAAUAAGACAGAGGCAAGAUAAUUUAAUCAAAAGAAAUUAAGAAAAUUUUCCAAAAAUGUUAGUUUACUAGUAAUUUUUCUAAGUCUGCUUAUUAAAUAAAUUAAGGGAAACUGUAAAUAUAUUUUGCAAAUUGUUGCCCAAAAGAUAAUUGGAAAAAAUUGUAUAUAUUGUAGGAUUUGAAUAUACAGCCUACUUUUAUGUCACCCCUACCUUCAAAACUACAUAUAAUUUAUUUUAGGAGUUGGGUGUGUUAUGUCUGUUGCAGUUAGGACUUGUGAUUCACUGGUAUGAAGAAUUUUUUGAUGUUUAUAUUAGUAACAAAAUUAUACAGGAAUAGAAUCUCAUCUAGAAAAUGCAAACCAUUGUUGAAAAGCCGUUAGCAUUUCCACACAACUGUUGUCCCCAGAGGUAACUGCUGUUUUCAUUUUAAUGUUAUCCUUUUAGACCUUUUCUCUAUUUACAAAAAUAUUAUGUGUUUCUAUGUGUACAUAAAGUUUUGGGGUUUUUUUUACAUAAGUGGCAGAUACUUUAUUGCAUAUGAAAUUUGUAAUUUUUUUCUAUUAAAGUACACAUUUGGAAAUUAUCCUCUGACUUUUGGAUUUUUAACUAAAGAUAUGUUGGACGUGUUCCUUUAUAUUUUUAAGUUCAGCACAGAAACCUUCCUACCUUUUUGUGGAAGAUAAAAUAUUAAAACUGCUUUCAAAACUACAA
rnacentral:sRNA from 1 species